ACCACCCAAUCUUAUAGCCUCAACUUUCAUGAUAUAUACAUGAUUUUGACAAAAAACCUACUACCUGAGGAACACAGUUGAGUUUGGGAGCAGGCUAGUGCCCAUUCAGACAUAUGCAUCUCACCCUGCAGGGGCAGAGGCUGUCCAGGUUCAGGAUCCCUUCUGGGAUUAUAAUACCCCAGGGGCCAUUCUAGCUAGAGAUCAGUUUACAACCAGCCUGCCAGAUGCUCUUCCUAAGGCUGCCCUCACAAAGUAAAUUCUGAUAAACUUCUGGAGAUACUUUUGGAUAAACAUGAAAAUCCCUCUCAGUUCCUAGAAUGCCUUAAAAAGGCCUUUUUACAGUAUACUAACCUAGACGCUGAGAAGCCACAGCGAAGACAACUCCUUAUGACAUUUUUUCCCUGAUCUCCCCUGAUAUUAGGGUUUAGCUUAGGCUUCUGUAGAAAGGACCUCUAACAUCACAGGCAGGAGAAUUAAGGUGACUUUUAAGGUAUACCAUGAGAUAGAUGAGACAGCCAUUAAAGUCACAUACUAUAUGAAGCCGAGGCCAUCCUACCUGCAUCAGAGUCCUCUAGCCAACUUCCUAGUCCUGGCCAUAAAUAUUUUUUAAAAAGAAUUCAGAUUGCCUAGGCCUGGCCAUAGAUGACUCUGAGUGAAGGGGCCCAGGAUCUCUUGACCCAAACACAUUCAUUUCUGACAGGGAGCCUGGGUGGACAACAAGGUAUCAGAGUGAUCCCUCUCCUUCCUCUUGGACACAGGUACCACAUACUCAGUCCUGAGGGAAUUUUGGGGACUCAGUUCUCCUUCUUGUCUCACUGUUGUCUGGGUAGGGGAACAGCCUCACCUACCUCAUCAAACCCCACCACUCAAAUGCAUUUUCAGGGAAUUCCCCUCACUCAUUCAUUUAUAGCAACCUGUCCUGUCUCCUUACUGGGAAGGGUUCUUUAGCCCAAGUAGGAGCUACUAUUUCUUUUGCUUUUUUUCCCCAUUCCCCUAUGUUGGGACCCAGCCCUCAUGGGUUCUCUGUGAGUUGUUCUGCAACAUAACCACAGGUACCUCCUGUCUUUCUAAACCCUGCCCACUAACAUCCUGUUAUGAACCUUUCUUGUUAUUGAAACAUUAUUUCAUGCCCCCAUCCCCUUCUUGCUUUGUUGGUCGUGGGUGGGGGUUGUGAUUUCCUUGUUUAUGAUAGGGUGUCGGAGUGCUUUCUGCUAGGAGGUGAUGUUUUCCCAUCUCCUCUUGUAUAUAAGCUGCUGGCUGCAAUAAACUGAUGGCAUUCGAUUCUACUCAAUGACCCAUGUUGUGUCCUUCUUAAUACACAGAUUCUCACCUGGUCUGGUUCUUCAGUUGCUGGUGUUAACACUAGAGACAAUUGGAGGUCCCACUGAGAUCCAGGAAAUCAGAGCUAUCCUGAUGGACCAGCCCUGAAGAUUGUGGCCACAAGACAAGGAAGCGGGCACUGGGGUUGACAGUCCGACUCAAAAGGAUCUGAGUCCACUGAUAAGGAGGAUGAGGAUGAGGAUCAUUUUGAGGAAGAAAAGGAAUCAGAAGAGGAAAUUAAAGAUUUACAAAUGCAGUUAAGGGAGAUGGGAAUGAAGGAAAAUCUUAAGAGCAUGAAGAAUAAACCUUGCCUUGCCUGCAUCUAUGCCCCCCCCCAGCUUAUGAGAAUUAUACUACUUGUGUUCCUGAUUCUAAUGCUUCAUCUCCCAAAGGGGUAGUUUUUGGAAAGUCAUUGGGUUUCCCUGUUAUAAGUCCCUGACCCUAAUAAUCCACGACAGGUCAUGCUGCAGCAUGUACCCCUUAAAUUUAAGGAGCUCAAACAAUUGAAAGAGGCUGUCUGCAGUUAUGGCCCUUUGGCUCCAUUCACAAUAGCUAUGACAGAGUCCUUCUCACCACUUAAUCUUACCAGAAUGAUUGGCAAUAGCUUGCUAGAGCAAUGCUUAAUUGAGGAGAUUUUUGUUAGGUCGAGGGGAAUUUUAGGAGGCAUGCAUCAUUAUGGCUAAUAUGAACACACAGGCAGGUUUUCUUCAAAGAAAUGUUGAUAUG